GUUGAGCGGGCGAGCCUGC
rnacentral:misc_RNA from 1 species